rnacentral:rRNA from 1 species
UGGGGAAUAUUGCACAAUGGGGGAAACCCUGAUGCAGCGACGCCGCGUGAACGAAGAAGGUAUUCGUAUCGUAAAGUUCUGUCCUAUGGGAAGAUAAUGACAGUACCAUAGAAGAAAGCUCCGGCUAAAUACGUGCCAGCAGCCGCGGUAAUACGUAUGGAGCGAGCGUUGUCCGGAAUUAUUGGGCGUAAAGGGUACGCAGGCGGUUUAAUAAGUCGAAUGUUAAAGAUCGGGGCUCAACCCCGUAAAGCAUUGGAAACUGAUAAACUUGAGUAGUGGAGAGGAAAGUGGAAUUCCUAGUGUAGUGGUGAAAUACGUAGAUAUUAGGAGGAACACCAGUGGCGAAGGCGACUCUCUGGUCUGUAACUGACGCUGAGGCUCGAAAGCGUGGGUAGCAAACAGG